CAGAAUCAGCGGGGAAAGAAGAC
rnacentral:ncRNA from 2 species